GCAGAAGUAACAUUCCUUUGAACACUCAGCUUUCUGAAAUGGUGUCCCACCGCAAGGACUGGAGAAGGGGUCUUCCUCUGCCACCCAGGCUGGAGUGUGCAGCAGCAUGACCGUGGCUUACUGCAGCUUCAACCUCUCAGGAUUAGGUAAUCCUCUUACUUUGGCCUCCCAAGUAGCAGGGACUACACAUGUGUAUUACCAUGCAUGGCUAAUUUUUUGCCUUUUUUGUAGAUAUAGGAUAUUGCCAUGUUGUUCGGCUGCUCUCAAGCUCCUGGGUGCAAGCAAUCCAUUUACCUUGGCCUCCCAAAGUGCUGAGAUUACAGGUGUGAGCCACUGUGCCCAGUUGAAAGUAUAUUUGUUAAUUUAACUGUAUUAGUUAAUUUUCAAAUGGUCUCCAUUUUUCUCUUGAUCUACUAGAGGCAUCAAUAACAGAACAGUGUUAGUCCUCUAUAAAAAACUGUUUCUGUACAUUUUUAACAUUAUGUAUUUGAUUCCAUUUUCUUAGCCUAUAAAGAUUUGUGGUGACCUUUUCACUACUUUAUUUGAAAGUAUACUUUUUCUGUAUAAAUGGCUUUUUGUAAUUGGAUUGCUUUUCCUGCAAUAUGCUUUUGGUUUAAAUUAAUAUUUU
rnacentral:lncRNA from 1 species